UCAAAGAAAAUUCUACUUCCGGGAUAAACAAGGGAACGCUGUUUUUUUGAAUAACUGUCCUUGUUUUAAUGUGACUAAGUUGCCAAAACUGCACAUCUACAGAGGUAUUUGUUUUUUAUCUGAAUGUGUCAUGCGACAUUUGUCACGAAAGGACUUGCCUUACAUAGUAGUGAACGUGACGCAUAGCUUGAAACCUGAAAGUUGUGAGUUCGAGCCAGCAGUCACAGAUUAGUCAUACAAUCAGCCACCGAGUUGUCUUUGAAGGAAGGUCAAGUAGCUAACCGUCAUACAUAGUUGGCUUGCGAUCUUACUACAUUUAUUUGUUUUGCGUGUUUCUCUUGCCAGCAACUUCAUGGCGAAUCCUUCCCACGUAUCAAGAGUUUUGUCUUUGUAUAAGAGGAUUCUACUGUUGCACCGGUUCCUGCCCAUUGACUUGAGAGCGCUGAGAGACCAGUAUGUCAAAGAUGAAUUCAGAAGGAACAAAACGGCGGCGCCCGAGGAGGUCACUGUCUUCAUGAGGGAAUGGGGGAAGAACAUGUGCCGUUUAAUCCCUCGCCGCACGAUGGCGGUGUUUACCAUAAUUCCAGAGCCUGGACAAUAUCUCUGCAUCUCUGAUUCAAGAUUUUAGCACAGCACACAAUGAAGAUAUGUUAUCUAUCAUCAGUAUUGUAGUACAUGUAGCGUAGCCGUUAAGCCCACUUCAAUCUUUGAUUUCAACCAAUUUAUCUGGUUGUUAUAUCCAUAACCGUUUUUAUUUGAAGCCAUUCAGAUGUUUUAUUAUUAGGUUAUUGACAGCUGUGUAAGUAACCACUAGUUACCAGUUUCAAAGCUGUAAAAAAACGUUGGUGUUGAGGUGACCCCCAGAUAAACACAUUUUUCACACAUGUUUUGUAUCUUCUCAGAUAAUUGAUCAUACUUCAUGUACUAUUAAAAUGUUCAUGUGCAGAUAUAUGCACAGGAUAGCA